rnacentral:rRNA from 1 species
UACGUGAGUGACCUGCCUUUGACUCUGGGAUAAGCCUGGGAAACUGGGUCUAAUACCGGAUGCGACUACUGCCCGCAUGGGCUGGUGGUGGAAAGGGUUAUGUACUGGUCUUAGAUGGGCUCACGGCCUAUCAGCUGGUUGGUGGGGUAAUGGCCUACCAAGGCGACGACGGGUAGCCGGCCUGAGAGGGUGACCGGCCACACUGGGACUGAGACACGGCCCAGACUCCUACGGGAGGCAGCAGUGGGGAAUAUUGCACAAUGGGCGCAAGCCUGAUGCAGCGACGCCGCGUGAGGGAUGACGGCCUUCGGGUUGUAAACCUCUUUCAGCAGGGAAGAAGCGGAAGUGACGGUACCUGCAGAAGAAGCGCCGGCUAACUACGUGCCAGCAGCCGCGGUAAUACGUAGGGCGCAAGCGUUGUCCGGAAUUAUUGGGCGUAAAGAGCUCGUAGGCGGCUUGUCGCGUCUGCUGUGAAAGCCCGGGGCUUAACUCCGGGUGUGCAGUGGGUACGGGCAGGCUAGAGUGCAGUAGGGGUAACUGGAAUUCCUGGUGUAGCGGUGAAAUGCGCAGAUAUCAGGAGGAACACCCGAUGGCGAAGGGCAGGUUACUGGGCUGUUACUGACGCUGAGGAGCGAAAGCAUGGGGAGCGAACCGGAUUAGAUACCCUGGUAGUCCAUGCCGUAAACGUUGGGCACUAGGUGUGGGGGACAUUCCACGUUUUCCGCGCCGUAGCUAACGCAUUAAGUGCCCCGCCUGGGGAGUACGGCCGCAAGGCUAAAACUCAAAGGAAUUGACGGGGGCCCGCACAAGCGGCGGAGCAUGCGGAUUAAUUCGAUGCAACGCGAAGAACCUUACCAAGGCUUGACAUACACCGGAUCGUUCCAGAGAUGGUUCUUCCCUUUUGGGCUGGUGUACAGGUGGUGCAUGGUUGUCGUCAGCUCGUGUCGUGAGAUGUUGGGUUAAGUCCCGCAACGAGCGCAACCCUCGUUCUAUGUUGCCAGCACGUGAUGGUGGGGACUCAUAGGAGACUGCCGGGGUCAACUCGGAGGAAGGUGGGGAUGACGUCAAAUCAUCAUGCCCCUUAUGUCUUGGGCUUCACGCAUGCUACAAUGGCCGGUACAAUGGGUUGCGAUACUGUGAGGUGGAGCUAAUCCCAAAAAGUCGGUCUCAGUUCGGAUUGGGGUCUGCAACUCGACCCCAUGAAGUCGGAGUCGCUAGUAAUCGCAGAUCAGCAACGCUGCGGUGAAUACGUUCCCGGGCCUUGUACACAC